rnacentral:rRNA from 1 species
ACGACUACACUCCUACGGGAGGCAGCAGUGGGGAAUAUUGGACAAUGGGCGCAAGCCUGAUCCAGCCAUGCCGCGUGUGUGAAGAAGGCCUUUUGGUUGUAAAGCACUUUAAGCGAGGUGGAGGCUACUUGGAUUAAUACUCUAGGAUAGUGGACGUUACUCGCAGAAUAAGCACCGGCUAACUCUGUGCCAGCAGCCGCGGUAAUACAGAGGGUGCGAGCGUUAAUCGGAUUUACUGGGCGUAAAGCGUGCGUAGGCGGCUUUUUAAGUCGGAUGUGAAAUCCCUGAGCUUAACUUAGGAAUUGCAUUCGAUACUGGGAAGCUAGAGUAUGGGAGAGGAUGGUAGGAUUCCAGGUGUAGCGGUGAAAUGCGUAGGGAUCUGGAGGAAUACCGAUGGCGAAGGCAGCCAUCUGGCCUAAUACUGACGCUGAGGUACGAAAGCAUGGGGAGCAAACAGGAUUAGAAACCCGAGUAGUCCACCAAUCC